AGAUCAUGUGAGGACAACUCCUAAGAAACAUUUUGUAUCUCACCCAUGCUUCAUAUAAGGAUUCUUCGACUUGUUAAAAAUUAGCAAUCUUAUUCUUUAGCUU